UGCCCUUGGUACUGGAGUGACAGAUGGUUGUGAGCUGCUCAAUAUGGGUGCUGGGAAUUGAACCAAGGUCUUCUACAAAAGCAGUCAGGGCUAUUAACUGCUGGGCUAUCUCUCUCCAGCCACGAUAAACAGUAUCACUCCCACCCAGUGCAGUGGUUAACUGUUUUAUAUUCCUCUUUUUUUCCUUUUGAGACAGGGUUUCAUGCAGACCAGCUGGCUUUGAACUAGCUAUGAAACUGAAGAUGACCCUGCACUCCUGACUCUCCUUCCUCCAUGUUCCAGAACACUUGAGUUACAGGCUGAUGCCACCGUGCUGGGUCUUCAGCCUCUGUAUCUGGAGCCUCAGUUUCCCUCCAGCUGCCCACAUCAAGGUCCAGACUGGAGUCCCAGGAGCUGAAGAGGGACCUGCAGUCAUUGCUCAGCUCAGAGUCAUCAGGAGAGUCAUGUCCAGAAUCCAACCAAACCCACUCACACCCCAUCUGGAAACAUACAGAAAAAUGCAUUAAAUUAACUCAAAUAAAAACAAAACAAAUUAAUUCAAAUAAACACUCUCAACACACCCCUAUCUUUCAAGUUCAUAGAAAGGGUCCAGAAAUUUCUAUUCAUUAGGAGGCAUAAGAGCCAGCUAAAGGGAGACAUUAGAUGAAAAUUUUAUCUUUUGGAUAAAAAAAGCUUCAAGUUUGUAUUACCCCAUUUUUAAACUUGGAGAUCUUCAUCUCCAAAAAGGGGGUGGGGAUUGGAGCAUACCUGCCUUAACAGACUUGCUUUAUCACAAAUCAUCCAUGAACACAACCACAAGGCAAUAAACUUGAGAAUAAAGAUUUUCCUCAGUGUAUACACAUUUUAAUCUAUUAUGAACUUAUUAACCAUUAGUUUCAAAACAAUCAUGGUUACCUUUGGCAUCCUUCUGGUCAUAUCUGACUGUCAGAAUAAAAACAGAAACACUUUUUUAUUCA